GACGAACGCUGGCGGCGUGCUUAACACAUGCAAGUCGAACGGUGAAGCGCCUUCCUUUUUGGUGGUUGUGGAUGAGUGGCGAACGGGUGAGUAACGCGUGAGUAAGCUGCCCCGUUCUUCUGGAUAACCGCAUGAAAGUUUGGCUAAUACGGGAGAGUCUGGGUCUGUCGCAUGAUGGGUCUGGGAAAGAUAUUGUGUCGGUGGGGGAGGGGCGCGCGGCCUAGCAGCUUGGUGGUGGGGUGGUGGCGUACCAAGGCGGUGAGGGGUGGCCGGCAUGGGAGGGUGGACGGCCAUGCAAGGGAUGCGCCACGGACAAUCCUACGACGGGAAGCAGCAGUGGGGAAUAUUGCACAAUGGAAGGCCGCAUGCUGCAGCGCCGCCGCGUGAGGGAUGGAGGCCUUCGGGUUGUGAACCUCUUUCGCCAGUGAAGCAGGCCUGGCUAGUUUGUGGGUGGGUUGACGGUAGCUGGAGAAGAAGCGCCGGCUAACUACGUG
rnacentral:rRNA from 1 species